GGGGAAUAUUGCACAAUGGGGGAAACCCUGAUGCAGCAACGCCGCGUGAGUGAAGAAGUAUUUCGGUAUGUAAAGCUCUAUCAGCAGGAAAGAAAAUGACGGUACCUGACUAAGAAGCCCCGGCUAACUACGUGCCAGCAGCCGCGGUAAUACGUAGGUGGCAAGCGUUGUCCGGAAUUACUGGGUGUAAAGGGAGCGUAGGCGGGCAGGCAAGUCAGGCGUGAAAUAUAUCGGCUCAACCGGUAACGGCGCUUGAAACUGCAGGUCUUGAGUGAAGUAGAGGUUGGCGGAAUUCCUAGUGUAGCGGUGAAAUGCGUAGAUAUUAGGAGGAACACCAGUGGCGAAGGCGGCCAACUGGGCUUUUACUGACGCUGAGGCUCGAAAGUGUGGGGAGCAAACAGGAUUAGAUACCCUGGUAGUCCACACCGUAAACGAUGAUUACUAGGUGUGGGGGGACUGACCCCUUCCGUGCCGGAGUUAACACAAUAAGUAAUCCACCUGGGGAGUACGGCCGCAAGGUUGAAACUCAAAGGAAUUGACGGGGGCCCGCACAAGCAGUGGAGUAUGUGGUUUAAUUCGACGCAACGCGAAGAACCUUACCAGGUCUUGACAUCGUAUGCAUAGUGUAGAGAUACAUGAAGUCCUUCGGGACAUACAGACAGGUGGUGCAUGGUUGUCGUCAGCUCGUGUCGUGAGAUGUUGGGUUAAGUCCCGCAACGAGCGCAACCCUUGUAUUUAGUUGCUACGCAAGAGCACUCUAGAUAGACUGCCGUGGACAACACGGAGGAAGGUGGGGAUGACGUCAAAUCAUCAUGCCCCUUAUGACCUGGGCUACACACGUACUACAAUGGCAAUGGAACAGAGGGAAGCGACUCAGCGAUGAGAAGCAGAUCCCGAAAAAUUGUCUCAGUUCGGAUUGCAGGCUGCAACCCGCCUGCAUGAAGUCGGAAUUGCUAGUAAUCGCGGAUCAGCAUGCCGCGGUGAAUACGUUCCCG
rnacentral:rRNA from 1 species